rnacentral:piRNA from 1 species
UGUGCUGUUACAAUGUGCUCCCUGCU